GUAUAACAUUGUGAACAGUGCAAUCUGUGUCUCCCCCAGGGCGUAACAGAGGUUCUCUGUGAGGCGUGUGAACAGUUGGGAUGGAAAUCACCCACCAAAAUCCAGAAGGAAGCUCUGCCAGUCGCACUGCAAGGACGGGACAUCAUCGGCCUGGCUGAGACUGGCUCUGGAAAGACCGGAGCCUUUGCUCUCCCAAUCCUGCAGGCUCUCUUGGAGAAACCCCAGCGCCUGUUUGCACUUGUCCUGACACCAACCCGGGAGCUCGCGUUUCAGAUCUCAGAGCAAUUUGAAGCUUUAGGCUCUUCCAUUGGAGUGAAAUCCGCGGUGAUAGUGGGUGGAAUUGAUAUGAUGUCACAAAGUCUCGCUCUGGCAAAAAAGCCUCAUGUUAUUAUCGGUGAGUGUUUACAUUGCCUUCACCUUCUG